GGAGGGGCAAUCCGAUUGGUGACGGAACCUGUCUUGAAAACAGUUGAGGUGUUAAAGCCCUUGGGAGUUCGACUCUCCCUCCCUCC
rfam:Bacteriophage S-PM2 complete genome